UUAUUAACCGAGAAGAAUUAAGAAACCCAGAAACUGCUAACUAUCUGCUACUGUGGUUAAAAUCCACA
rnacentral:tRNA from 2 species